UCUCUUCGUCUGCUCCUGCCGCUUUCUACGCACGUGCACGUUUCUUUUUCGUAUGCUCUGCAGUUAAAUGCUUUCUUUCUGUGCCCGUCAAUGUUCCGGCACUGUCGGUAAAACUGAGGAAACGGCGCAAGGCAUGCUGCGCGGCUGUAUGGUGUGGUGACUCGGGGAUGAACUCCAGGGCGAAUUUUUUCUGUUUGCCAGCGGACGAAAGGUGCAGGGAAGGACAUGGAGAAGUGCUUUCUGGAGCAGUCGCUGCCAAAAUCUGUGACGUCACGGCCUUCUGGUGUGGAAACAUCAAGGCGGCGUCGCCACCUGUCUUACAAUUUUUCAUGUUUUCUGAUUUACCAAGCCUCCUGUCACGUAGCACAUCUAUUGCCGCAAUGGAAUGACUGGAAGCGAGCAAGUUGGUACGGAUGUCCCGUUCAUUCCCUCUCAUGUCUCCUUUUGUCUGCGUUGUGCAGUGCUGCCCAAGUGAGCAGCCGCCAUCUCUGCAAUGAAAGGUGAAGUGUCCUGAAUCUUCAGCUGGGCAGUGAUAGCUUUGCUCUGAAUGAGAGACUAGGACACAGCUCAAAUUCAUUGGCAAUUCGCGUGACUUGUGGAUAGUGCACUCGGAGUAAUCUGAGAGGAGGAACUCGGAACAAGACGUAAGAACUUCAUGACGCUCGACUAUUUUCGUUCAGCGAUGGAUCGGUGCAUGCGAUAUCAACGAGAAAAUUCUUGAUAACUGAUCGUUAAUAAUUGCCGUUACCUUCCGUGGAUUUCCGCACAUGCUCAUACAUUUUCACCGAAGACGAAAGUAUCUAAGACUCUGUGCAUGUCUAUAGCGGUCGCCUCAGUUUCGCGACCGUAGUCUUGCAAAGCCUGCUGCUUCGCUACGAUAAGCAUCUUAACAAGUGCUUAUAUCACACGAAUGUGCUUUAACGCAUGUAGAUAUGAAAAUAAGUCAAAUCUGUUGAGACCAGUGCUAUGCCAUAAUAGAGAGCUUUAGAAGUGAUACACAAAAAUAAGUUGACUGUGGUAACAGCCCUCCUGACUA